UCAUCUUCGGGGGUAGAGCACUGUUUCGGCUAGGGGGUCAUCCCGACUUACCAACCCGAUGCAAACUACGAAUACCGAAGAAUGUUAUCACGGGAGACACACGGCGGGUGCUAACGUCCGUCGUGAAGAGGGAAACAACCCAGACCGCCAGCUAAGGUCCCAAAGUCACAGUUAAGUGGGAAACGAUGUGGGAAGGCACAGACAGCCAGGAUGUUGGCUUAGAAGCAGCCAUCAUUUAAAGAAAGCGUAAUAGCUCACUGGUCGAGUCGGCCUGCGCGGAAGAUGUAACGGGGCUAAACUGUGCACCGAAGCUGCGGCAGCGACACUAUGUGUUGUUGGGUAGGGGAGCGUUCUGUAAGCCUGCGAAGGUGGCCUGUGAGGGUUGCUGGAGGUAUCAGAAGUGCGAAUGCUGACAUAAGUAACGAUAAUGCGGGUGAAAAGCCCGCACGCCGGAAGACCAAGGGUUCCUGUCCAACGUUAAUCGGGGCAGGGUGAGUCGACCCCUAAGGCGAGGCCGAAAGGCGUAGUCGAUGGGAAACAGGUUAAUAUUCCUGUACUUGGUGUUACUGCGAAGGGGGGACGGAGAAGGCUAUGUUAGCCGGGCGACGGUUGUCCCGGUUUAAGCAUGUAGGCGGAGGUUCCAGGUAAAUCCGGUACCUUAUUAACGCUGAGGUGUGAUGACGAGGCACUACGGUGCUGAAGUAACAAAUGCCCUGCUUCCAGGAAAAGCCUCUAAGCAUCAGGUAACAUCAAAUCGUACCCCAAACCGACACAGGUGGUCAGGUAGAGAAUACCAAGGCGCUUGAGAGAACUCGGGUGAAGGAACUAGGCAAAAUGGUGCCGUAACUUCGGGAGAAGGCACGCUGAUAUGUAGGUGAAGCCCCUGCGGGUGGAGCUGAAAUCAGUCGAAGAUACCAGCUGGCUGCAACUGUUUAUUAAAAACACAGCACUGUGCAAACACGAAAGUGGACGUAUACGGUGUGACGCCUGCCCGGUGCCGGAAGGUUAAUUGAUGGGGUUAUCCGUAAGGAGAAGCUCUUGAUCGAAGCCCCGGUAAACGGCGGCCGUAACUAUAACGGUCCUAAGGUAGCGAAAUUCCUUGUCGGGUAAGUUCCGACCUGCACGAAUGGCGUAAUGAUGGCCAGGCUGUCUCCACCCGAGACUCAGUGAAAUUGAACUCGCUGUGAAGAUGCAGUGUACCCGCGGCAAGACGGAAAGACCCCGUGAACCUUUACUAUAGCUUGACACUGAACAUUGAGCCUUGAUGUGUAGGAUAGGUGGGAGGCUUUGAAGCGUGGACGCCAGUCUGCGUGGAGCCAACCUUGAAAUACCACCCUUUAAUGUUUGAUGUUCUAACGUUGGCCCCUGACCGGGGUUGCGGACAGUGUCUGGUGGGUAGUUUGACUGGGGCGGUCUCCUCCCAAAGAGUAACGGAGGAGCACGAAGGUUAGCUAAUCCUGGUCGGACAUCAGGAGGUUAGUGCAAUGGCAUAAGCUAGCUUGACUGCGAGCGUGACGGCGCGAGCAGGUGCGAAAGCAGGUCAUAGUGAUCCGGUGGUUCUGAAUGGAAGGGCCAUCGCUCAACGGAUAAAAGGUACUCCGGGGAUAACAGGCUGAUACCGCCCAAGAGUUCAUAUCGACGGCGGUGUUUGGCACCUCGAUGUCGGCUCAUCACAUCCUGGGGCUGAAGUAGGUCCCAAGGGUAUGGCUGUUCGCCAUUUAAAGUGGUACGCGAGCUGGGUUUAGAACGUCGUGAGACAGUUCGGUCCCUAUCUGCCGUGGGCGCUGGAGAAUUGAGGGGGGCUGCUCCUAGUACGAGAGGACCGGAGUGGACGCAUCACUGGUGUUCGGGUUGUCAUGCCAAUGGCAUUGCCCGGUAGCUAAAUGCGGAAGAGAUAAGUGCUGAAAGCAUCUAAGCACGAAACUUGCCCCGAGAUGAGUUCUCCCUGAGACUUUAAGUCUCCUGAAGGAACGUUAAAGACGAUGACGUUGAUAGGUCGGGUGUGUAAGCGUAGCGAUACGUUGAGCUAACCGAUACUAAUGAACCGUGAGGCUUAACCUU
rnacentral:rRNA from 1 species